GCAACCCCGCCCCAACCCUUUUCUGGGAUGGACCGGGAUGUCCAGCGGAGAAGACUCCUUGGGAAGCCUGGACUGUCGCACACCCCCAUCGUGGCCCAGCCCACACCACAGCUUACCCUCAGGGUCUCCAAUUCCUUGCGAGCCUGGCUUAGCUGCUUCUCCAGUUCAGCGAUCUUGGCCAUGGAGUCGUUCUCUGUGUCCCGAAGCCGCUCUGUCAGCUGUGGUACCAGCACAUGACCCAGACCUCCAGCCUGAGCCAGCUCCCCACUCUGUCCGGUAUCUCUGAGUUCCCCAUCAUCGAUGGGCUGAGAUCGGAGCAUCCGACGGGACUGAUGCUCCUGCGUCAAGACCCAGAACCACCUGAGCCUGUUCCAGGACUUCGAAGACAGAUGUUAUAGUAUCCAUCACGUACCAGGGGCUCCUCUACACAUCUGGAGUCAUUGUCACCUCUGUGAUUGAC
rnacentral:lncRNA from 1 species